UAAUUUUUUCCUCUUUAAAACAGAAAAAAAAUCAGAGUUCAUUCUUUCAAAAGUUUGUUCUCAACAUCGGAAAGACAUACAAGUUCCUUGUAAAGUUGGAUGAGAAAUCAAAGGAUGAACGUGCACAAGGAAAGAUAAUAGCACAAGAAAUACAAAUCCAAGAAGACAUCACAAUCAACAUUGAUGAUGAUGAUUCAGUUCUCGAUUUACCAAAAAAGAAGAUAAAGAUUCUCAAUGUUCUUAAAAGAAUAAUCAAUGAAGAUUGCCUACUACUAGAUUUCAUAAGGAAAGAUGAUCGUCCAAGGCCAUUAUUAUUUUGAGGACAGGUAUGACUUGGUUCAGUCUGGCAGAAUGCAGAGGGACAAUUAUCUUUUCUGAGACAUGCUGUGUCUGCACCACCUGAUGUAUUUACAUUUGCACAUUGUUCAAGACACCUGGCUAUUGAGCUUUUUCAUUUGAAGAGCCAAGUUUUUGUGUUUAUUUCCUUUAGAAGGUAUAUGAUUGUUAUAAUCUAGCAUGCAAUCACACAGGUAAGCCUAAAUCAGGCUGUUUUUUUUCUUUUUCUUUUUUUUAAUAUGCUAAGAUUAGGCAAGUUAUUUCUUUGUUAUUUUCCUUGGAAAGGUUUGUUCACUAGAUUAGGCAUCAAGCAUUUUGUACGAAUGAAACACAGUCCCUCUGGGUCUUGAAUGUGUGACUUUCUUAUGUAGAUGUGUAUUUCUGCUCUUAUCUAAUUGAUGAAGAUUGUCUGCAAUUAUUUUUAUCAAAAGACUAUUUAAAAAAAUCACAUAUAAAGUUUAACCAUUAUGAAUGAUUAGAUGUGUGUUGUAUGUAACCAUAUUUCUUCAUCAUAUAUAUAUCGUUUUUAGUUGCCAAACAUGUUAGGUUUCUAAAAAUAUGAAUUGUUGAAUUUAAUUUGAAGUUUAAGCUUUAGAAGGAUAUAUGGUUAGUAAUAUAUUUCUUAUGUUUGUCUACAGCUAGAAUGGACCUUAUUAGUAGUUCCUUCUUUUUCGCCCCUAAAAGAAAUCCAAUUUUAUCUAUCCAGCAACUUAGGGUCAUGCAUGCUUAGUAACAUUUUCUUGCUCUUUGUGGGACACGAGGCAAUAAUAGUUGGGAAAGUUAUCAGCCAUUUUACAAUGCAGAUUUGAAUUUAGUCUCGAUACAUUGUUUGCUCACUAAAAUCUGUAUCUGUCAAUUACUUGAUGACGGCUUUAGCUUAGAUAUUGUGCUGCUAUUCUAACCUUAUAGCCUUCAGAAUUCUUUUCUCUGUGUUUUUGUGAUUAUUAUGUGUUAACAUCUCAGAAUCUGCUAUGUAUCAAAGUAAUUCUAUUUUCUGUGUGCAAGGUGAUAAAUUUAAUCUGGAUGUCUUCCUCUUUGUUUGCAUGUCAAUAAAUCUGAUCUGGAUUUUAUUCCUCUUUUCUAUUCUUAUUACUGUUUUUAU